rnacentral:rRNA from 1 species
CUACGGAGGAUCCGAGCGUUAUCCGGAUUUAUUGGGUUUAAAGGGAGCGUAGGUGGAUUGUUAAGUCAGUUGUGAAAGUUUGCGGCUCAACCGUAAAAUUGCAGUUGAAACUGGCAGUCUUGAGUACAGUAGAGGUGGGCGGAAUUCGUGGUGUAGCGGUGAAAUGCUUAGAUAUCACGAAGAACUCCGAUCGCGAAGGCAGCUCACCGGGCCGGAACUGACACUGAUGCUCGAAAGUGCGGGUAUCAAACAGGAUUAGAUACCCUGGUAGUCCGCACAGUAAACGAUGAAUACUCGCUGUUUGCGAUACACUGUAAGCGGCCAAGCGAAAGCGUUAAGUAUUCCACCUGGGGAGUACGCCGGCAACGGUGAAACUCAAAUGAAUUGACGGGG